AGCCGGGUCCCAUACAACAGGAGAGCUGUAAACCCCGCCAGGUCCGAAAGGAAGCAACGGUAGCAAUUCAACUGUGUGCUGUGGGGUGCUCGGCGCUU
rnacentral:SRP_RNA from 1 species